rnacentral:tRNA from 1 species
UCCCUGGUGGCUCAGAUGGUAAAGCAUCUGCCUACAAAGCAGAAGACUUGGGUUCAGUCCCUGGGUUGGGAA